rnacentral:rRNA from 1 species
CCUACGGGGGGCAGCAGUGGGGAAUAUUGCACAAUGGGCGCAAGCCUGAUGCAGCCAUGCCGCGUGUGUGAAGAAGGCCUUCGGGUUGUAAAGCACUUUCAGCGGGGAGGAAGGCGGUGAGGUUAAUAACCUCAUCGAUUGACGUUACCCGCAGAAGAAGCACCGGCUAACUCCGUGCCAGCAGCCGCGGUAAUACGGAGGGUGCAAGCGUUAAUCGGAAUUACUGGGCGUAAAGCGCACGCAGGCGGUCUGUCAAGUCGGAUGUGAAAUCCCCGGGCUCAACCUGGGAACUGCAUUCGAAACUGGCAGGCUAGAGUCUUGUAGAGGGGGGUAGAAUUCCAGGUGUAGCGGUGAAAUGCGUAGAGAUCUGGAGGAAUACCGGUGGCGAAGGCGGCCUCCUGGACAAAGACUGACGCUCAGGUGCGAAAGCGUGGGGAGCAAACAGGAUUAGAUACCCGAGUAGUC